AUUGAACGCUGGCGGCAGGCCUAACACAUGCAAGUCGAACGAGUGGCAGACGGGUGAGUAAUGUCUGGGAAACUGCCUGAGGGAGGGGGAUAACUACUGGAAACGGUAGCUAAUACCGCAUACCAUCGAAUGUGCCCAGAUGGGAUUAGCUAGUAGGUGGGGUAACGGCUCACCUAGGCGACGAUCCCUAGCUGGUCGUAGAGGAUGACCAGCCACACUGGAACUGCGACACGGUCGAGAAGCCUACGGGAGGCAGCGGUGGGGAAUAUUGCACAAUGGGCGCAAGCCUGAUGCAGCCAUGCCGCGUGUAUGAAGAAGGCCUUCGGGUUGUAAAGUACUUUCAGCGGGGAGGCGUUACCCGCAGAAGAAGCACCGGCUAACUCCGAGCCAGCAGCCGCGGUAAAUC
rnacentral:rRNA from 1 species